CUUAACACAUGCAAGUCGAGGGGCAGCAUGGUCUUAGCUUGCUAAGGCUGAUGGCGACCGGCGCACGGGUGAGUAACACGUAUCCAACCUGCCGUCUACUCCUGGCCAGCCUUCUGAAAGGAAGAUUAAUCCAGGAUGGCAUCAUGAGUUCACAUGUCCGCAUGAUUAAAGGUAUUUUCCGGUAGACGAUGGGGAUGCGUUCCAUUAGAUAGUAGGCGGGGUAACGGCCCACCUAGUCAACGAUGGAUAGGGGUUCUGAGAGGAAGGUCCCCCACAUUGGAACUGAGACACGGUCCAAACUCCUACGGGAGGCAGCAGUGAGGAAUAUUGGUCAAUGGGCGAUGGCCUGAACCAGCCAAGUAGCGUGAAGGAUGACUGCCCUAUGGGUUGUAAACUUCUUUUAUAAAGGAAUAAAGUCGGGUAUGCAUACCCGUUUGCAUGUACUUUAUGAAUAAGGAUCGGCUAACUCCGUGCCAGCAGCCGCGGUAAUACGGAGGAUCCGAGCGUUAUCCGGAUUUAUUGGGUUUAAAGGGAGCGUAGAUGGAUGUUUAAGUCAGUUGUGAAAGUUUGCGGCUCAACCGUAAAAUUGCAGUUGAUACUGGGUGUCUUGAGUGCAGUUGAGGCAGGCGGAAUUCGUGGUGUAGCGGUGAAAUGCUUAGAUAUCACGAAGAACUCCGAUUGCGAAGGCAGCCUGCUAAGCUGCAACUGACAUUGAGGCUCG
rnacentral:rRNA from 1 species